CAGUCGAGCGAUCGAUGGGAGCUUGCUCCCUGAGAUUAGCGGCGGACGGGUGAGUAACACGUGGGCAACCUGCCUAUAAGACUGGGAUAACUUCGGGAAACCGGAGCUAAUACCGGAUACGUUCUUUUCUCGCAUGAGAGAAGAUGGAAAGACGGUUUACGCUGUCACUUAUAGAUGGGCCCGCGGCGCAUUAGCUAGUUGGUGAGGUAAUGGCUCACCAAGGCGACGAUGCGUAGCCGACCUGAGAGGGUGAUCGGCCACACUGGGACUGAGACACGGCCCAGACUCCUACGGGAGGCAGCAGUAGGGAAUCUUCCGCAAUGGACGAAAGUCUGACGGAGCAACGCCGCGUGAACGAAGAAGGCCUUCGGGUCGUAAAGUUCUGUUGUUAGGGAAGAACAAGUACCAGAGUAACUGCUGGUACCUUGACGGUACCUAACCAGAAAGCCACGGCUAACUACGUGCCAGCAGCCGCGGUAAUACGUAGGUGGCAAGCGUUGUCCGGAAUUAUUGGGCGUAAAGCGCGCGCAGGUGGUUCCUUAAGUCUGAUGUGAAAGCCCACGGCUCAACCGUGGAGGGUCAUUGGAAACUGGGGAACUUGAGUGCAGAAGAGGAAAGUGGAAUUCCAAGUGUAGCGGUGAAAUGCGUAGAGAUUUGGAGGAACACCAGUGGCGAAAGCGACUUUCUGGUCUGUAACUGACACUGAGCGCGAAAGCGUGGGGAGCAACAGAUUAGAUACCCUGUAGUCCACGCCGUAAACGAUG
rnacentral:rRNA from 1 species